rnacentral:lncRNA from 1 species
GACGUCCGGAGCAGCACAGCAAGGGAAAUCAAAAGACGCAAUGGUAUUCACUUUGGCCAACUAGGGCAACCCAGUAGCACCACAAUCCUUACCAGGGAAUCUGAGUAAAAACAACCGUAGCAACAAGAACGAGCCUUAUAUCGAUCAAACAGUGCGCUUUCCUUUCAAGGCAACGCAAUAAGAUCCAGUCGAUUUCGCUGAAGAGCCUCCAUCUCCGCCUUCAUGGCCGAAACCUACAAAAGGAUUUGGUUAGAGCUUCAUAGACUGAAGCGAGGAUGGAAAUCGAAUCACCUGACUAAGAAAAAGACUAUUAGAAUCUGAAAGACCGUGAUAAGACAAAUAUUGUGCAAUAGGCUGAUUAGUACUAUGAAAAAAGAAAACGAGAAGGGGACGCGAAACACGUGUGGGAUACCGAGGUGGGGGGAAUAUUAGAAACUAAGGAGGAAACAUACCUAACUCCGGAGGGGAGAAGACAACUGGCAAUGGAUAUAGGAGACGAGGGGGAGGGAUUUGGUGUUUGGGGUAAUGAGAGGCGAUCGGGGGCAUGGAGCCAGUUGGUGGAGAGUUAGUUGAUAAAGUAGGCUCAAGUAUAGGAAGAGGACGAGGAGGUAUGGGGGUCAUCUGAGUAAGCAUCUCAGAACAAGGAACCCGGAGAAGGAGUUGGGCAAUCAGAAAAAAAGAGAACAGUUUCCCAAAAAACGUGACUCUAACAAGUGAGACAUAUGACGAGGACAGGAUCAUAACAACCUAUACCCCUUGACAUCGAGGAAUACCCGAGGAAAAUACAACGUACGGCUUAUCAUCUAGUUAGUACGGGUGUUGGGUCCCAAAGGACACGGGGGAUAAAGGAAAUAGGGUAUUAGCAGGAUGAAGGACAUGGCGAGGAGCCCGCCUGUAAUACCCGACUGGGAGGCCGAUUUGAUAAGGUAGGUAGCAAGUGAGAACUGCCAUGUGCCACGAAAUACUUAGGUACCCUCCUACCCCGUAAGAGACACGAAACCCGACAUAAAAAAAAUUAUGACAAUUUGUUAGCUCAGCUACCCCAUUCUUCUCAAGGUGGUGUAGGACAUGUAAGUUGUUGGGAGUUACCACUUUUUUUUAAGUUUCCCACAGAAACUCAUGUGGAUAUACUUCUCGACCAUAUCGGACCUGAUGUUACGCCACAUUCAGUGUAAUUGGGUUUUGAUCAUUUGUAGGAAGUGAGUAAAGUGAGGAAAAAUCUCAGAUUAUGAAGCAGUAAGGUAGGACUAAGUACAACGCAUGUUAAAUCAUCUAUGAAGGUUGACAUAAUAGCGGUGUGAGAGAGUGCAGUAACUGGAGACGGUCCCCAUACGUCUGAAUGAAUAAGUCCAAAGGCACUAGGGGCCUACGAUGCAUACCGAGGAAUAUAAGAGGGGCACGAGGAUGCGUAGUAAACUCACAAAAGCACAGUUAAAAAAUUAAAUUUUUGACAUGCUUAUGAACGAGGAAAAAAGACAACAUAAAUAUUGAAAGUUAGCAUGCCCUAAACGAGGCAGCAUGCCACAAAUCUAAGGUGUGAAACAAAAAAAUAGACGCCUUUAAACCAGACGAACUUAAAACAGAUUGACUCUAACACUGGAGGAGGAGAAAAACCUGGAAGGCUAGAUGACACCGUACCUAGAGGUUAAAGGAUCCCCAAGUAGUAUAGUCCAUCCCGCUUCAUACCCCUUGCCAAAAAUCUUCUUCGAAUCAGGUCCUGCAAGAAGCAAAGAGAUGGUAAGAAAAACAAAGGCACAAAUUAAGAUAUUUUGCAAAGGGGACGACUAAAGACGACUGAACAAAAAGAGGAUUAGAGGGGCAAAAUGAGGUGGUACAUUAAAUAUACAGAUGAAAGGGUAAUAUCGGAGAGGAUAAAAAACGAGCAAACUUCCCUGAUACGAAUGGGGAAUGGGAUGAACCAUUCAGAAUAUAAAUUGAUUGAUGAACAAAAGUAAUAAGGAGUAAAGGUAGUAAGCUCACCAAUCAAUGGAUUAUUUGCUCCUGAUCAAAAUCCAAGUGGGGUGACCUGACUACCCAUGAAGAGCGGGAGGAGUCUAUGCAACUAUAGCGGUGGGGGCCAAAGGAUUGGGACGGCAGGUGCUAAUCCCAGGUGACUUGCCAAGAUGAGCAAUCAGAGCUGAAAGUUGUGAAAGUGUUUUGAAGUCAAGUAAAUUAGCAGGUAUAGGGUCCACUUCAGCAAUACCGCCAGUCCGGGGUAGGCCUCUACCUCGGCCCCACUACGGUCCACCCCCACGACCACCUCCACGAGGUCGAGAAAACCGUUGCUUCAAAUCAGGAUGGAGGAACCCAACAGCGAUCCAAUGAGGUGGACCGGACCUUGUGACAGUGUGAACAAUAUAAGUGGUCCCUGAAGAAAAAACAAAUGCCAUAUGUUGUUUAGGAAACAAUAGGAGAGGACUCGAGUAGUGAAAAGGAUGGUUUAAAGACGGACGCCUCUGCUCAUCACCAUCCACGUAGCAAACGCCUCAUUAAAGGGAAGACAGCUGGUUGAUGUGUUUAAAAUGAGUGCGAAGAGGUCCCAAACUCAGGUUUUUAAACCCAUCAAAAACUGAUAGGUAUGUUGACAUCAAGGGCAUUGGACUAACGCUCCAAUCAAUAGGAAAAUCACUGAGGGCUGUAUUGCAAGCUAAUUACUCCCAUCUUAGUCUGAAGAUAUCCAAAAUAACGGCAAUAGAGAGUUCCAAGGAAUGAGCUGAGAUGAAUGAGCGAUCUUCGGUCGGAUAACUCAAACAAUCGGGACUCUUGCGGGAAUGGCAUACAUCUGGGUCAAUGCAGUCCCACAACCCCAUGGACAGUAUCAUGGUACAUAAACAUGUGUAGACUCGAUCUCCAUCGAGUUGAACAUUCCAGCCCACGAUAAUACAGUAUCUGGAAAUCUAUUUCAUCAAACUUGGGAUCAGAUUCAGCAGGUUUUGGUUCUUUUCCCAGAAUCCAAGGGUCUUGACGCUUUUCACCAAGGAAAAAAAAAGCUGUGGAAUGGAUGAAGGAACGAGACCAAGCAAUGAAAGUUCUUUCCAUUCACAACACGCUCGUUAAACGUUGAGCUGGUGAGACUGAGAAAGAGAAACUGGAACUGGGGCUCAAAACCGGAAACUAUAUGGGCUGGGGAAACUCUUUGAGGAGUCAUCCAUACGCAACACCAAGAACACAAUCGUAAAUUAAUCAGACUUUUUGUACUUUUUUGUUUAGAAUGCAUCAUUACCUAGGCCAGCAUGGUAGACUGCAAAAUGAAGGAUGGGCUUGGGAUGCGUGGUUUGUGGGUGUUGGCUGGACUAGGCUGCACAGGCUGGCUGGCGGACUGGGCUGGCUAGAACUGCCCAUAGCCUUGGUGCACAGGCUGGCUGGCUGGACUAGGCUGUGGAUGAAUUCGGGCUGCACGGCCUUGGCUGCACAGGCUGGAUUGGUGUGGACUGGGCUGCACAGGCUGGAAGGGGGGUAGGGUAGAAUGCAGGGGCUGUGCUGAAAACUACAAGCCUUGGAUUGGCUCUGCACGGUGCAGCGGCAGGGCUGCGUGGUCAAGGAGCAGGGACUGAUGGUGGUGGGGCUGCGUGCUGCUGGACAGAUGGGCUGCGUGGUUGCUGUUGGGACUACCCCACGCCAGGGCUGCACAGGAUGUGCUUGGCUGCACGGUGCAGGGGCAGGCUGCUGGUGGUGGCUGUUAGGGUUUGGGCUGCUUUUUACGACCAUUGGAGGCUAGGUUUUUGUUUUUUGUUGUUGUUGACUUGAUGCCAAGAAGAAGAAGUUUAGAAGGCUUAAAUUUUAUUCCUCCAAAGUUCUCAAGAUCUAAUACACAUGUAGGAAUUAAAUUAGGAAAGAAAUAAGGGAAAAAUUAAAAAGAGAAAUCAUUGGUAUUGGUCAACAUGACCUAUUAUAAAUAACCUACGAUAGGAAAUUCUCAUUAAAUUAAGGUAAAGAAAUCUUCUUAACCUGCCAACAGAUAAUCAGUUUGUGAAAAGCCACCAAAACAACAGACUUACAGAGCGUGACGCCCCCGACAGAGUUUGCUACAGAGAAGUUCAUCCAAUUACGUAGCAUUAAGACGAAAAUUUACAAAUUGAUAAUGACACGUAUUCACAUUUUAGGUACUAGGUGUAUUUUAUACACGACUGGAAGGCACGCCCAUCAACUUUUGCGCUUAAUGUUUGGAUGAUUGACCACUUAAAAAUGUUUGAACUUGAGACUUAGUGGUUGAAAUCCUAUGUUUUUGCCAUCAAACCAACCCUCUUGAUUACUGCACAUUAUUGUUCUUUUCACAUGGUUUUCGAUAUUCAGCUGAUUGAUUGGUAAAGUUUAAAUAUUUGGUAGUGUCGUUGAGAUGAAAACCAAUUUAUAGUGAAGAUUAUUAUAUAUGUGAUAGUCAUGAAUAAUUUAUUAAUUUGUUCUUGAUGUUGAUAUAACUAAUUAACAUAGUAGAAUAUUUGAAUCGGACUUCAAUGCGAUGAAGGUAGGUAAGAAAGUGGCAAACCACGUAAAUUUAGUAUCUUGUGAUUAUUUCAUUGUUAUUUCAUUUGUAUUGUUUGUUAAUUUGUUUUAAUCAUUAAUUUGUUUGAACCUAGAGAAGGAAGACGACAGAUGAAUUAAUUAAAAUUCAUAUGGGAGAAUUUGAAGAAAAUUGUCUUUUGUUGGUUUUUCACCACGGUGAGAGAAUUUCUAAUGAUUUAUGUCAUUCUAGCAAUGUUAUUUUCAAAAUUUAUGAUUUUUACCAUUUUAGCCGUAUUAGUGUUAAAAUUUAGUAUAUUACAAUAUUAUUUUGUCAUUAAUAUUGUUGCAUUGAUUGAAUAUUAUUUUAGUUAUACUAAUAUUUUUUUUAUUAUGGAUCAAAUUUUCACCUAGUAUCAAAAUUGCAUUUUAUUGAUCAUUGUGAAAACAGGCUACCUAAAUUUAAAAAGACACAUUUUGACUAGUUAAUUUGGUUUUAAUUGCUGGGAUGCUCUUAGGUCAAGUUCAUACUUGACCCUUGUGUCUAUUUGUCAUUAAACUUAAUUCAGUAGCUAGCACAAGAUCAGAAAGCUAUAUUGACAUUGGACUUGAAAUGUAAGAGAUUAACUGAUAUAAUUGAAAAUUAAAGUUAUAAAAUGAGAUUAGUAAAAGUACAUUAGAGAAAAGUUUAACUUUUUGAACAUUAAAGACGGGAUGAAGUAGAAAUUUUUAAUUUGCCAAAAUCAUCUGAUUGAACAAGUUAGAGAGGAGAGAGAGAGUGACGUCUUGUUCCCCUUUUCUGGGCCAUUAAACGCGCCAGUGGCUAGGGGACUGUCUCAUUGUUUGCGUCUGGAGGAAUACCAAGUUGGAAACAACCUUGUGUAGGCCAGUCCAUGUUUUCUCCUACCCAUUUCCAAAGGAGUUUGUAUGUAGAACUCCGUAGGGCACUGAGUUUGAGGAGGGAGGCAAUUCGUCUCUUCCAUGCUUUUGAGAUCACAUAAUAGUUCCAAACUAAACACUAGAAAAUGUACUACCUAUUUUUAGUCGGGUAUUGAAAUAUUUAUACUUUGACCCUCCAAAUUACACUUGUCAAGUCCUUUGUCAUAGAUACCUUUUAUGUUGUUUCGUGUUUGUAGGUCAUUUGAGCCUAUUAUACGAUCCUUUGGAUGAAUUUCAAAGGUUUGAAAUUUGUCCAGCAGUCAAAAAAGUCAUUUUCCAAAGCUUGUUACCAAAGCGUUAAAGCUUCCAAAGUACAAGGGGCUGAACUAUAAUUUUGGGCAAAAUCUAUAUACCAAAAAAAAAGAAACAGGGUUAAAUCCUAAUUUGGUCCUUAAACUAUUUCAAAUUUAUUUACUUCAUCUCUCAUCUACCAAUUGUAUUUAUUGAGUUAUCUAACAAAUCAAUUUAAGUCAAUUGUUUUCAAUUGAGGACCCGUCAUUUAAAAAGUGGACGUCAUCUGUCCACAUGACAUGCACGUAAGGACAAAAUAGUAUUUUCGUACGUGAAUGAACACGAAACACACAUGGGUCACCCUAAUUGACUUUAUACUCUGGUAAUCGAUCACCAAUUUGGGCAAAAUUGGUGUUUAGAGUUUUUAACAAACGAGAGUUUGUGUCCAAAUCGAUAAUGUUUUGGAUUCUAAGAUCAGGUAAUAACUACCUUCAAUUUUGUGGAGGUUAUGUGAAUGGAUACCAUCUACUUUUUAGAUGGCAGGUCAUUAAUUGGAUUUGAUCCAUGUAAAUUGAUUAGUUGGGGAACUCAAUAAGUGCAAUUAGUAGUUUAAGGACAAAGUAAACAAAUUCGGAAUAGUUUAAGGACCAAAAUAGUAUUUAAUCGAAGAAAAAAAAACGCUAGUUAGUAAAAUCAUUUAGAAUUGAUCUAUGGUCUUGAUUUGGGGAAUGAAAUCCCUUGAUGGCCGUUUAUCCUCUCAAUCAAUCAAUUAUAAUAUGGGGAGUGAUUUUAGGCAUUUGGAAUAUUUGUCCGUCGUUAGUGGUGCUCUUCUGCUUCUGGAGUCUGGACGUCUCAGGCGGAUCAUUGGAUGUGGCAACGCUUAGUAGCUCAUCUUGGCCGGCCAAUCAUUCCAAGCAGUAACACCCGGUGAGUACACCGAAUUAUUUCAUCGAAUGACUUGCGUUGUCUCCUACGUAAUUCCUAGUGAUUUCGAAUUCCCUUUUAUAAAACACCCAACCCAAUAGAACAAUAAAGUCUGAUUCUCUUGGUAGGAAAUGAAGCAUGUAAUUUGAAGUCUAUCAUUAGUUAAAUUCUUUAAGUUUAAAUUUAUCAAAAAUUAGAUAGAACAGUCUAUAGUAACGCUUAUCUGCUGCUAGUGCUGAUUUAGAAACUCUUAUACUUUGGGGGCUCACUAUCCUGUCUUUUCAAAUGUCACACCAUCUUCGAUUGUAUUGAACUAUCCAAUCCAAACAUUUUGGAUCCCAUUCUGAAUCUAUUCUAAAGAUUCAAAUCGUUCAUAUUAUAGAAUCCGUUGUGAAAAUCAAUACUAUAAAAAAAUAUGUUAAUUGGAUACAAAAUAUUAUCCAUUUAGUACUAUUUUAUAACUUAAUAAAUGAAUGUGACACACAAUAUAAUAUACAUUUAUCUUCAUAUAAAUUGAUAUUGGUAUGUGAUUAUUUACUGUAUUAAAGUUCUUACGUAAACUCUACAAUAUGAACAAUUUAGAUCAGAAAAAUGGGUCUGAAACGAUACCCAAAAUAUUUGGACUGCACUUAUGCUUUCCAAAAUUGGACUGUGUAGAAACUGUCCUAUCAUUGGGUGUUGUGUGAGAGAGAUAGGAGAGGAGGAGGAGAAGAGGAGGGUAGGUAAGGAUUGCCUGGUGGGCGUGGGAUGAUGGUGGGUCCGGUGGGUAUGAAAAAUAGGUCUAGUAUUGUUAUAUGAUAGUUUCUUAUAACUUUUUUUUAAAAAAAAUUUGGAGUAGAGAGAAAGCAAAAUUUUGAUGAACUUUUGUUUUUUUUAACCUUUUUUAACUUAAAAACUCUAACUUUUAACAUCUAAAUCUUUAUAACAUUUACGGCAUUUGUACUUUUUAUUAUAUUUUGAUAAAAU